CCUACGGGAGGCAGCAGUAGGGAAUAUUGCUCAAUGGGGGAAACCCUGAAGCAGCAACGCCGCGUGGAGGAUGAAGGUUUUCGGAUUGUAAACUCCUUUUGUUAGAGAAGAUAAUGACGGUAUCUAACGAAUAAGCACCGGCUAACUCCGUGCCAGCAGCCGCGGUAAUACGGAGGGUGCAAGCGUUACUCGGAAUCACUGGGCGUAAAGAGCGCGUAGGCGGGAUAGCAAGUCAGAUGUGAAAUCCUAUGGCUUAACCAUAGAACUGCAGUUGAAACUGUUAUUCUAGAGUAUGGGAGAGGUAGGUGGAAUUCGUGGUGUAGGGGUCAAAUCCGUAGAGAUCAAGAGGAAUACUGAUUGCGAAGGCGGCCUGCUAGAACAUAACUGACGCUGAUGCGCGAAAGCGUGGGGAGCGAACAGGAUUAGAUACCCGAGUAGUC
rnacentral:rRNA from 1 species